GGGAGGAGAGUAGCCAAAAUGUCUUCCAAUUGCUUCCUGGGAAGAUGGUGCUGGGGUUGUGUAGCCUCUCUGAUUUCUCUGGCACAUCAACUCCCCAAAACUCUGCUUUCAUUUGAAAAGAUUAACCGAGGGUCUCGGAGCAGCAAGUUCAGCAAAAGUUUGCCUUUUCUGUAACACCAUACUGCUGUUGUCCCCAGGGACCACCGGGAUCAGGAAAUAGUGCCAGCUGUCAGGAUUUCUGUCUCUGAUAAGAUGAGAUGACCCACCUUAUUACACAGGGACCAGCAGUAGACCCUUCUGCGAGAUGAACUCGGAUGUUUAUUAAAACUCCAGGCUAAACUGAGGGUCAAAUCAUACAGGAGACAGAUGCUCAUCAAUUCCUGCUGGAUGCAAGUCUUUAUUCGGUAUCAAGGGGUGGAGGGAUUUUACCUAACUUGUUCUGUCGUGUUAACGAUCCUGCCCAACGCGUGAUCAAACAGUAAUCAUCGCCACCGUUCUAAUCCAGAUGUAAAAAUCAUCUGAGCAUCGCUUAC